UUGAUGUGAAAUUUAUGUCAAAACAACGUCUGUUAAAAUGUCUGAAAAGGUAUAUUAUUAGCCUACUCAUUGUAAAUCGACGCGAGUUUUUCAACAUCCUGACCCACACAGCAGAGGGUUCCAAAACGGACCCUCUGCGGCGGACUCCGUGUGGAUACGCACAUCGAACGCGCCCUUUCCAGUCCUAACGGCUCCUUCAGUUUUCAAAUUUCUCGUUGAUGAAGUGGAAGAAGACGAAACAGCGGCGUCUGAAGGCUCACUGUCAUUCACAAGUGGCUCCAGUCUGGUUUGGGGGUUCUGCCAUCCAAGUAAAGUUAUUCACAAGUGGCUCCAGUCUGGUUUGGGGGUCUACGCUUUCUCAUCCUGUCCUGC